UCGAGUUAGGGUCAUUCCGGCCCGACCUCCCACCCUUUGUUUAAUUGACCUUGUGUUGCUUCGGCGAGUCCGCCCUUCCGGGGGCCGCCGGGCAGUCUCGCGACUGUCUGGCCCGUUGCUCGUCGGUGGCCCCAAUCUCAAAAUUCUUGAAUAAAACGUGUCGGUCUGAAUUUUAAAUCAAAAAAGCA
rnacentral:misc_RNA from 1 species